GACGAACGCUGGCGGCGUGCUUAACACAUGCAAGUCGAACGGAAAGGCCCUGCUUUUGUGGGGUGCUCGAGUGGCGAACGGGUGAGUAACACGUGAGUAACCUGCCCUUGACUUUGGGAUAACUUCAGGAAACUGGGGCUAAUACCGGAUAGGAGCUCCUGCUGCAUGGUGGGGGUUGGAAAGUUUCGGCGGUUGGGGAUGGACUCGCGGCUUAUCAGCUUGUUGGUGGGGUAGUGGCUUACCAAGGCUUUGACGGGUAGCCGGCCUGAGAGGGUGACCGGCCACAUUGGGACUGAGAUACGGCCCAGACUCCUACGGGAGGCAGCAGUGGGGAAUAUUGCACAAUGGGCGAAAGCCUGAUGCAGAGACGCCGCGUGCGGGAUGACGGCCUUCGGGUUGUAAACCGCUUUCGCCUGUGACGAAGCGUGAGUGACGGUAAUGGGUAAAGAAGCACCGGCUAACUACGUG
rnacentral:rRNA from 1 species